rnacentral:rRNA from 1 species
AUACGGAGGAUCCGAGCGUUAUCCGGAUUUAUUGGGUUUAAAGGGUGCGCAGGCGGCCAUUUAAGUCAGCGGUUAAAUCGUGGGGCUCAACCCCAUUCUGCCGUUGAUACUGGGUGGCUUGAUUGCGGUCGAGGUUGGCGGAAUUCGUUGUGUAGCGGUGAAAUGCAUAGAUAUGACGAAGAACACCGAUUGCGUAGGCAGCUGACCAGACCGCAAAUGACGCUCAUGCACGAAAGUGCGGGGAUCGAACAGGAUUAGAUGCCCUGGUAGUCCGCACAGUAAACGAUGAAUACUUGUUUUCGGCGAUAUAAUGUCGGAGGCAAAGCGAAAGCGAUAAGUAUUCCACCUGGGGAGUACGCCGGCAACGGUGAAACUCAAAUGAAUUGGCGGGG